CGGGGGCACGUGGAGGUGUUGGUUUGCAGGUGGAUCCUUUUCUUCUUCACUUCCUCUGAAGUUACGCGGGUAAAACACAGAUGUUGGCGGGUUUAAAUAAUCUGAGCUCCAACAUGAGAUGAAGAUGAAGAUGAAGAUGAAGAUGAAGAUGAAGAUAAAGAGAUGAAGGUGCGAGCUGGACCGGCCAGCUGCUGUAAAAACAACAGGAAGUCAGUAUCAACACGAUAGAGAGACGUGGAGGAAACGGAGGAGGAGAUGGAGUGAGAAUCGGCAGAUAUCUUCUGAUCUGAAGGUGGGUGGUUUUCCUUGGACCAGCUCGUCUGCUUAUCUUGGGUUGAGGAAGCAUUGGGGGCUGAGGACUUGGCUCUGUGCCCUCCCAAGACCUCACAACCUUCGUCUUCCCCCAUCGAGGUAGCCUGGAAGUAGCCGGCAGCAACAUUACAUGGAUUACGUAUUAACUACUGAACCGAUUGACUUGAAACCUGGGGGAGAGGUGGGGUCUGGGUCAACUUGUGAAGCACAUUAAAAAAGGAGGCAGAUUCUUGGCAAGUUUUUUCCACAUUUCUGUGAAUUUCCCAAGAUAUAAUUCAGAUAUCUUAAUGAAAAAAAAUCAGGCAUAUGAAGAGAGUAUAUCUAUGAGGUGUUAUUUGGUGCAGAUCCAGAUGUAUCUGAUCCCAAUACAAUUACAUGCAGUAUGUGAUAAUGUGGACACUCAGCCUUGGUGGAGGUAUGCGCUCUCCGAGUGCCCUUCAAGUUUUCAUAUAAAUCUUUAAAAAUCUCAUUAUAGUCAUCUACAUCACUUUAUCUCUAUCACUUCAUAUUUUUCACAAGUUUUAUUUAUUAAGAGUUAGACAGUUAUUUAAUGUCCUGUUUUAUGCUUCAACCUGAACCACAUCUUCCUUGGUACCCCACAGUUGCUGACACACCAAUGAACAUUUAAGUUUCUCAAGUAAUAAUUUUUAUUAAUGUAAAUCAGAAAAGGCCAAUGUUAAGUUCUCAGAGAACGAGGUCUGAUUUUCAUUUGUUUUUGCAGUUUUGCUUAAAUAAAUACUUAAAAUCAUAAUCAGAAUAGAAUAUUGAUAAACUCCUUGUUUUUAGCUCUACUUAAUAUUUCAUUUCAAAACAUGUGUAAACCUUGUUUUAUACUUCAUGUAAAGCUACACAAGAACAGCAGAGGUCAUGUGUUAUGGUUCAUUCAUUGUUUUUCACACCGUCUCCUGAGUGACUGGAUAUGUAACAUUUCCUUAAGAGCCAACAACAUCUCAUUGUGGUGACUUCAAAGUCUAUUGUUAUGUAAUUGUACACAAAGAAUAAAGUGAGGUACAAUGUG